GAAAGUAAAAGGCUAGGAGCAUUUUACAGUACCUCAGAAGAACCGGUGUUGGUCUGCAACGAAAACUAGGGAAAGCUGAAAGAUCUAAGCAGACUGUGGUUUUCCUGUACCACACUCGACCAAGCAGGCCCUAUAGAUCCCUACCCUAAAGGAGGAUGGUGCGUGAAAACCUACCAGGUAGCUCAUGUACAAGAAAGAUGAAAACUUGUGACUAUACUGGAUUGGUUCUACUGAGGCAAGUUCAACUUACAAUCAGGAAGGUUUGUGAGAAAAUACAAG